AAAUAUUGCAAAUGUCAAUAAUAUAUGAGUACUUAAAAAUGUUUAUAUUUUCAAAUGAAAAAUAAUAAGUUCCGAUUAGUAGGCAAUCAAAAAAAGUUGAAGAAAGACAUUCAACACAAUGGUAGAUGUAGAAAAAAAAGAUGGACAACAGUCCGCAUAAUACGCGCAUGAACUAAAGGUUGGUCAAACACAACCAAAUAAAAUGUUAAUAAAGGAUCCCAGAUGCAUUAGAAGGGUACGCAAUUUCUGCUCCGUUAGUGGUUAGAUGCAUGAGAAGGAUACGCAAUUUCUGCUCCGUUAAUAUAAAAAAGAAGAUGGGGUAUGAUCGCCAAUGAGACAACUAUUCACAAAAGACCAAAAUGACACAGACAUUAACAACUAUAGGUCACCGUACGGCCUUCAACAAUGAGCAAAGCCCAUACCGCAUAGUCAGCUAUAAAAGUCCCCGAUAAGACAAUGUAAAACAAUUCAACGAGAAAACUAACGGCC
rnacentral:lncRNA from 1 species